UACGUAGGGUGCAAGCGUUGUCCGGAUUUAUUGGGCGUAAAGAGCUCGUAGGCGGCUUAGUAAGUCGGGUGUGAAACCUCCAGGCUCAACCUGGAGACGCCACCCGAUACUGCUGUGGCUAGAGUCCGGUAGGGGAGCGUGGAAUUCCUGGUGUAGCGGUGAAAUGCGCAGAUAUCAGGAGGAACACCAGCGGCGAAGGCGGCGCUCUGGGCCGGUACUGACGCUGAGGAGCGAAAGCGUGGGGAGCGAACAGG
rnacentral:rRNA from 1 species